GGAUACUUAUACAUAUACUAAAAUUGGAACAGUACAGAGAUUAGCAUGGCCCCUGCACAAGGAUGACAUACAGAUUCAUAAAGCAUUCUGCAAUAGG
rnacentral:snRNA from 1 species